GCGUCUGCCGAUGAAAAUAAAAAUACGGCUAAAAACAAAACAGUAUUCGGUUCAAUAGACAGUUAGUAACUUAAAAACAAAUAAGCCAAGUGCUCCGUGUCUCUGUGUAGUUUGAAUUUUAAAUGUGCCGCCCCUGCUAGCUCUGCGACAGUCAGCCAAUAGGCAGGGACGGGACGUUGAAAAGAAUUGUGGGAAAUGUGGGAUCAGGCAUAGAAGCAAAGUGUGACAUCUUCCUGUAGGGGGCGACAUUGUAACAAGCACACUGUCUGUGAAAGUACUGUGACACGCCGACAGAUCUGCAAGGAGACUCGGGGAGAGACUUGAGUUUCAGUCCUCUGUAAAAAGAACAUUGCUAAGCAUUGCUGGAGGGUGAACACACUGUUCAACUGUAUAUAAUGGCUUGUAAUAUUCUGUUUACUGUGACUAUAGUACCUUGGAUUGGUUGCGUCACUGCAGACAUGGUGACUCAGUCUCCCGACAAUCUGAACGUUACUGAGGGGAAAACAAUUGAACUUGAUUGCCGUUACAGCGCUAGUAGCAAUUCGCUUGACUUUUUCUGGUACAUACAAUACCCAAAUGAUUCUCCAAGGUACAUGCUUCAAUCACAGAGCACUUUACAGAGCCCCCAUCAUGAGCACAGAGUCUGGAUUCUUAUACCUACUGAUAAACACACUGGUUUAUUUACACUGUGUGAGAUCUCAGGCUCAAGUAUCUCAGACAGCACCAUCACUGACUGAGUGAAGGGGAGACUGCAACCCUUCACUGAAACUACACAGCUUCUGCUUUCAGGAGUCUUCAGUGGUACAGACAGAGGCCAAACAGAAGCCCAGAGAAUGUGAUGAUCUUUGUUUCGGACCCAAUGAAAAGACUCACAGUUCAGUGGGUCGCUGGACAAGGGGAAGAGCUCUGGGGUUUUUAAUGUGAGCAAUUCACAAGCAGAAGACUCUGUGACCUAUUACUGUGCAGUGGAGGCACAGUGUUUGAAAGCUGUGAGAGGACCUGACAGAAACAGAGUGGAGUUAACAGAACUGAACAGCCUGCAUCUGGUGGAUCUGCACAUGAAACAGGACAACAACCCAUUAGAGACAUUAGACUCUACUGACAUACAUUCUGUAAAAAAAAAAAAGUAAAUAAUAAUAAAAAAAUGUUCAUUUAAAUUGUUUAUACAACUAUUUGCAUGAUUUGGUAAUUUGCUUGAAAGACUCAGACAAUGCUUAAAUGUUCAGACAAUGUUUGCUAUUUUUGAAAGGUUUAUAGUGUAUUCUGUGUUAAAAAAACCCAGCUGUUGAGGCUGCAUUUGUAGACACAAUGAAUCUUCUUGUCUGCCUCAGUGCAGCACUGCCCUGUCUGGCUGCUAGCCUUCUCUUUACCAUUGAUCCUUGCUACUGUUUAAGUCAUCUUGUUCUGGGACUGGUUCUCAUUCACUGUCUAUUACUAACACAUUGUAUCUGUAUUCCUAGUAUGUCAUCUUAAAUAAAAGC